AUAUCAGUCAUGCAUAGCAUAUCAAUAAGCGGAGGAAAAGAAACUAACAAGGAUUCCCUUAGUAACGGCGAGUGAAGCGGGAAGAGCUCAAAUUUGAAAUCUUCAAGGUUUUACCUUGACGAAUUGUAGUUUAAAGAAGUGUUUUCUGUUGAAGUUUUGGUAAAAGUUCUUUGGAAUAGGACAUCAUAGAGGGUGAGAAUCCCGUAUUUGACCAUUACUUUCAGCUUUGUGAUACACUUUCAAAGAGUCGGAUUGUUUGGGAAUGCAGUCCAAAAUGGGUGGUAAAUUUCAUCUAAAGCUAAAUAUUGGCGAGAGACCGAUAGCGAACAAGUACCGUGAGGGAAAGAUGAAAAGAACUUUGAAAAGAGAGUUAAACAGUACGUGAAAUUGUCAAAAGGGAAGCGUUUGACACCAGUGUUGUUUUCUCGAAAAUCAAUUAAAAAGAGUUGGAUUUUGUGUUGUAUUGACUUUAUCAGCUUUCUUCACUCUUUUCCAGCUUUUUUUAAUGCACUUUUCGUUUAACAAGUCAACAUCAGUUUCUUUUGUUGUAAAAAGGUCAUUGGAAGGUGGCUUUCUCUUCGGAGAAAGUGUUUAUAGCCUUUGACUCAUGCAAUCGGAGAGACUGAGGUCUGCAGCGUAGAUCCUUCGGGGUUAGAUACAUUUGUGCUAAGUUAUAGCUUUUCAUAGACAACUUGUUGACUAUGUUUAGUCUUGUAGCUUACCCGCUUAUGCUAUUUUACCUACGCUUAGGAUGUUGAACUCUAUCACACACA
rnacentral:rRNA from 1 species